AUGCCGGCCGGCGUCAAGUUCGAUCCCACGGAUCAGGAGCUGAUCGAGCACCUUGAGGCCAAAGUGAGUGCUGACAGCAUGAGAUCUCACCCUCUCAUCGAUUUGUUCAUACGAACCAUCGAUAGCGAGCACGGCAUAUGCUACACCCAUCCCGAGAAACUUCCAGGCAAGACACCGAUCGGCCGUCUACUUGCAGAAACAUAUUCCUUUGUUUAUAGCUCUAUUUUUCUUUUUAGACGCAGACCUAGUAUCACACUGAGUGGCCUAAGCAAGCAUUUCUUCCAGCGGAAUUUUAGGGCGUUCAAAAGGGGCACGUGGAUGCGUCGCAAGAUACAGUCGGAGUGCGGCAAGCACGCAAUGUGGCACAAGGCCGACAAUACCGUGCCGGUGAUGGUCAACGGCCAACAGACGGGCAGCAAAAAGGUUCUGGUGCUGCACACCAACAAGAACUUCGACCAGUAG
rnacentral:rRNA from 1 species